UACGAAGGGGGCUAGCGUUGCUCGGAAUCACUGGGCGUAAAGGGUGCGUAGGCGGCGCGGUAAGUCGGGUGUGAAAUCUUGGAGCUUAACUCCGAAACUGCAUUCGAUACUGCCGUGCUUGAGGACUGGAGAGGAGACUGGAAUUUACGGUGUAGCGGUGAAAUGCGUAGAUAUCGUAAGGAAGACCAGUGGCGAAGGCGGGUCUCUGGACAGUUCCUGACGCUGAGGCAACGAAGGCCAGGGGGAGCAAACGGG
rnacentral:rRNA from 1 species